AGGAUUAUAGUUAAAUAUAACACUUGAUUUGCAUUCAAGAAAUACUGUUCCCAGUUAAUCUUA
rnacentral:tRNA from 2 species